UACGAAGGGUGCAAGCGUUGCUCGGAAUUAUUGGGCGUAAAGGGUAGGUAGGUGGUUACGUAUGUCUGGGGUGAAAUCCCUGAGCUCAACUCAGGAAGUGCCUUGGAAACGGCGUAACUAGAGUGCUGGAGAGGUUCGCAGAAUUCCCGGUGUAGCGGUGAAAUGCGUAGAGAUCGGGAGGAAUACCAGAGGCGAAGGCGGCGAACUGGACAGCAACUGACACUAAACUACGAAAGCGUGGGGAGCAAACAGG
rnacentral:rRNA from 1 species